ensembl:snRNA U6 U6 spliceosomal RNA
GUGCUUGCUUUGGCAGCACAUGUAUUAAAAUUGGAACGACACAGAGAAGAUAAGCAUGGCUCCUGUGCAAGGAUGACACGCAAAUUCAUGAAGCCUUCCACAUUUUU